AGAGUUUGAUCCUGGCUCAGAUUGAACGCUGGCGGCAUGCCUUACACAUGCAAGUCGAACGGUAACAGGUCUUCGGAUGCUGACGAGUGGCGAACGGGUGAGUAAUACAUCGGAACGUGCCCGAUCGUGGGGGAUAACGGAGCGAAAGCUUUGCUAAUACCGCAUACGAUCUACGGAUGAAAGCAGGGGACCGCAAGGCCUUGCGCGGACGGAGCGGCCGAUGGCAGAUUAGGUAGUUGGUGGGAUAAAAGCUUACCAAGCCGACGAUCUGUAGCUGGUCUGAGAGGACGACCAGCCACACUGGGACUGAGACACGGCCCAGACUCCUACGGGAGGCAGCAGUGGGGAAUUUUGGACAAUGGGCGAAAGCCUGAUCCAGCCAUGCCGCGUGCAGGAUGAAGGCCUUCGGGUUGUAAACUGCUUUUGUACGGAACGAAAAGACUCCUUCUAAUAAAGGGGGUCCAUGACGGUACCGUAAGAAUAAGCACCGGCUAACUACGUGCCAGCAGCCGCGGUAAUACGUAGGGUGCAAGCGUUAAUCGGAAUUACUGGGCGUAAAGCGUGCGCAGGCGGUUAUAUAAGACAGAUGUGAAAUCCCCGGGCUCAACCUGGGAACUGCAUUUGUGACUGUAUAGCUAGAGUACGGUAGAGGGGGAUGGAAUUCCGCGUGUAGCAGUGAAAUGCGUAGAUAUGCGGAGGAACACCGAUGGCGAAGGCAAUCCCCUGGACCUGUACUGACGCUCAUGCGCGAAAGCGUGGGGAGCAAACAGGAUUAGAUACCCCGGUAGUCCAA
rnacentral:rRNA from 1 species